rnacentral:rRNA from 1 species
UAGCAGCCCGGUAAUACGGAGGGUGCGAGCGUUAAUCGGAAUUACUGGGCGUAAAGCGCAUGCAGGUGGUUUGUUAAGUCAGAUGUGAAAGCCCGGGGCUCAACCUCGGAAUAGCAUUUGAAACUGGCAGACUANAGUACUGUAGAGGGGGGUAGAAUUUCAGGUGUAGCGGUGAAAUGCGUAGAGAUCUGAAGGAAUACCGGUGGCGAAGGCGGCCCCCUGGACAGAUACU